UGUCAUGGCCACGGCUGCCCCGGGCCAGCUCCUGCCGGCUGGCAAACCCAAAAGACCCCCCAGUUAAGGCAGGAGCAAAGUUAAGGGACCACCUGAAGACCAGUAAGUCACUGACACAUUUUGCAUGCCUCCCUGCAUAGAUUUCAAGCUGAAACAGCUGCUCAAGUAACCCUCCUGGCUGAGGUCUUCAAAAAAGGCUUUAAGUUGAGAACUGGGGACAAGCUGCUGCUGAGAAAUGGUCCCUGACCUCUGCUGUAGCUGUUGUGGGUCCAGCUGCUGAGUAUUGCUGAAGCUCAGGGACACUGUUGGCUGCUGUAAGAUCAUCUGGAAAAGAAUAGGGGAGGAUUUAUAUACAUAGCCCAGAUGUUCUGAAUAAUGAAUGUGACAAAAGUAAAUCCAAAGAUAUAUACUAAAAUAAAGUUACCACAUUUCUGGA